rnacentral:rRNA from 1 species
UACGAAGGGUGCAAGCGUUACUCGGAAUUACUGGGCGUAAAGCGUGCGCAGGCGGUUUUGUAAGACAGGCGUGAAAUCCCCGGGCUCAACCUGGGAAUGGCGCUUGUGACUGCAAAGCUGGAGUGCGGCAGAGGGGGAUGGAAUUCCGCGUGUAGCAGUGAAAUGCGUAGAUAUGCGGAGGAACACCGAUGGCGAAGGCAAUCCCCUGGGCCUGCACUGACGCUCAUGCACGAAAGCGUGGGGAGCAAACAGG